AGCAAAGCUUCAGAUUUGCGGACGCCCAUGUUUUGCUCCUAUUCGAAGAGGUCCCUGAGAGCAGAAAAUUCAUCCCCAAGGUUAUGAGGAGUUGAUGUCAUUAGCUAAUACCAAUUCCGAGUUGCCUGAUAUUUUGGUAAGUUUAUGGAUUUUACUUCCACUUUCUAUGAAGAAACACAAAAAUACUCAGCGAAUUAUGGCCAACCUCCGCUUUCAGGGGUCAUACCAAACUAUUCCCUUCAUGUUGUUAAACUCUUUACGAAAACUUCUGCUUAAUCAUUUACUUGACUCCUCCACAGGGAGGUGAUAACAACCCUGGCCAUGAUAUUCCAGGAGCUGGAGCUGUAACAACAGACCCUUCUCAAAGUGUUGAAAGAGGUAUUCAUGACAACAGCAACAGACCCAGUAACCAUGUGAUGGUGGAAAGCCUCUCAGGAACUGUUACUGAACCAAGUGACAUCCCUGUUUCAUCUGACAUGUCUUCUGCGGAGUCCGUCGAGGAAGUGUGUGCGCACUCUGCGAAGAAGCCACACCAUGGUUAAGCUUCAGAUUAUUGGAGUAGAUACAAGGUCGCUCAAUCUCACAACUGCUUUUUUAACCAGUUUUUAAAUUGUUUCAUAAACCGAAUAAGUAUCACUUUGAGCUAUUUUCCUCAGUGUUUUAACUUAUACGUUUAUUUAUUUUUCUCUAUGAAUUCUGCAUCUUUCUUUUUAAACAAUUUUGAACCGUAGAACUGGUUACAUAGACUAAUAUAUUGUUACUCCUACAAGCUGUUUCAUUUUCAUUUUCUGAAAAAUAUAUUCCGGAACUGAGAAAAGUGAGUUGUGAGAUACUUUGCUCUGUGUUUUCAAAGCAUAUCGUUAUCUUUAUCAUGUUAUUUUCAAUUUCAAGAAUCGAAUGUGUGUGUGUCCUCAGCUAUUAUGCCCCGCCGUAAGUGCAUUUUAUUAACUUAAAUAAAUUAUGUCUACUCCAAGAAUUCUAUUUUUGCUUAUGCUUUUAAAUUGUUGGUCAUCGAACUACUGGCUGGUUACAGAGGUUAAGAAUAUUCAAAACAGCUAAAAAAAAGAUUAUUCAACCCCGUCUGAUCCUGUCACACAUACACUAAUAUUCCGUCUCCUCAUCGUAUUAUCCAUAGGUCAUAACAAAAACUGAGAUCAACCCACUAAAGUAAAGUUCCAACUCGAAACUGUUUAAGUCAUCAUGCCAAUUUUUUUUUAAAAAAUUAAACAUCUCUGAUACCCUUGAUUCCAGAGACUCAAUGCGCUGCUAAUGGUUACACUAAACAUCACACUUUAUUUUUACAGAUUUUACAGAUGCUAAUGGUCGCACCUUUCAUCAAAUUCGAGCAAUGACAAUAAAAAAAAAAGAAAUUUACAGAUUUUCAUUUUUAUCACGAAGUUCAUGCUUUAAAAAAUUAGUAAGAAACAAAAUGAUGAACCUCCAGAAAUCAUUGAAAAAUCAUUGUAAGUUUCAAAACAGAAGCUCUCCAGUUUUGAUGUGCAUAAUUGUUUGUUUGAUGACAUAUUCUUUGAUUGUUUUGGGAUGAAAUAUAAAGUUAUUAUGUUGUUUUGUACCAUUUAAUUAUUAAAUUAUAUAUAUAAGUUUUUCGAUGUUAUCGUUGUUACUAAGUGGAAACUGAAAAUGAGAUGUUUGAUUAGAUAGGAAAUAUAUAUUUUCAUUCAAUAUAGCCAACACUAAAACAAAUAAAAAAGUUUAGUUACUUCUUUAAAUUUUAUUUUUUGAAAAGAAAACUAAUUUUCAGAAAACAUUUAUAUGCAGUUUGGUUCAUUUUAAUUUUCAGAUUAUUAAUGAUUACACUACAUUUAAAUUAUUUUGUAUGAUAGGAUAUGAAACUCAAGUAAAAUUUUGUUAGAAAUGUAAUGCUUAUAUUAAUUUAUAACACUAUUAACUUAUAAAAAUAUUUUCAAAUAGCACGAGCGAAAUUUCCAACAAAUAUUUUUUUUAAGUUCAACAAAUGCCAAAAUAUUUUACAAAACAUAAUUAGUAAAACACCAAAAUUAAAGAAAAUUCAAUUAUAA